rnacentral:snRNA from 1 species
GGAUGUGAGGGUGAUCUGGCUGCGACAUCUGUCACCUCACUGAUCACCAGGGUUGAUUCGCUGAUCUGGCUGGCUAGGCAGGUGUUCCCUUCCUCAUGGCUCCACCUGUGCCCCUCCCAAAGCUGUGUGCCUGGUCAGACAACCCCAGAAAGAGGAGGACUGUUCCUAGGUCGAGGGUAUACUAAUAACUGUGUUCCCUUGCUAGAACCUCCAACAAGCUCUCAAGAAGGAAACAACCUCCUCACAGCACAGCAAUUUCAGGCCUCUGGUUUAU